CACCACACUCGGCUAAUUUUUGUAUUUUUAGUAGNGAUGAUGACUCUGUUCAAAUCAUAGGCGAUUCUAACAUAUUGGUCAUCAUGGUGUUGAUGUCUGUUGAUUGUCUUUUCUCAUUCACUAUGAGAUACUCCUGGGUCUUGUUAUGAAUUAUAGUUUAUUGAAACCAGGACAUUUUGGGUAUGGUGAGAGUCAGGAUCUGGUCUGCGGUAUUUGAAGCAAAAAAGAAAUUCCAGGGAACUCCCUGGUGUGUUUUGCCUUGAGACCUCCCUAGCUGGUGUGCCUUAUUCUCUCCACCUUUCAGAGUUGUCUUAUGAUUGUUUUGCAUAUAAUGUCUAGGAUUUUUAAUUGUACUUAUUGGGGGAAUAGGGAAGAAUAUGUGUACUCCGCUUUCACAAAGCACUCAUAUAUAGAUCUAGUUUCUCAAAUAGCUAAAGAACUAAAAGUGUACCAGCAGUUCUGAGGCUCAGCAGUAUAGCCCAAGAACUAUGAACUCAGGAUGGUAGAAGUGAAAGACCAUCACAUGGUGAGGUCAAGGGAUAUCUGUAGGCCGCUACUUCACAGGGUCCAUGCUGAAAGACUGCAACCAAUACACAGCCCUUAUCUGGG
rnacentral:lncRNA from 1 species